UACGAGGGGGGGCGAGCGUUGUUCGGAAUUAUUGGGCGUAAAGGGCGCGUAGGCGGUCGGAUAAGUCUUGUGUGAAAUCUUCGGGCUCAACUCGAAGUCUGCACAGGAAACUAUCUGGCUUGAGUGUGGGAGAGGUGAGUGGAAUUCCUGGUGUAGCGGUGAAAUGCGUAGAUAUCAGGAGGAACACCUGUGGCGAAAGCGGCUCACUGGACCACAACUGACGCUGAGGCGCGAAAGCUAGGGGAGCAAACGGG
rnacentral:rRNA from 1 species